rnacentral:rRNA from 1 species
UUCGGUACGAUCGGUGACAGGUGGUGCAUGGUUGUCGUCAGCUCGUGUCGUGAGAUGUUGGGUUAAGUCCCGCAACGAGCGCAACCCCUAUUGUUAGUUGCCAUCAUUCAGUUGGGCACUCUAGCGAGACUGCCGGUAAUAAACCGGAGGAAGGUGGGGAUGACGUCAAAUCAUCAUGCCCCUUAUGACCUGGGCUACACACGUGCUACAAUGGUUGGUACAACGAGUUGCGAGUCGGUGACGGCGAGCUAAUCUCUUAAAGCCAAUCUCAGUUCGGAUUGUAGGCUGCAACUCGCCUACAUGAAGUCGGAAUCGCUAGUAAUCGCGGAUCAGCACGCCGCGGUGAAUACGUUCCCGGGCCUUGU